rfam:Ovis aries breed Texel chromosome 1, whole genome shotgun sequence.
UCUCUGCUGGCUCAGAUGGUAAAGAAUCUGCCUUCAAUGCAGGAGACCCAGGUUCGAUCCUUGAGUUGGGAA